GCAGCCCGAGUGGUGAUCACUAUUAUUGGGUCUAAAGGGUCCGUAGCCGGUUUAAUCAGUCUUCUGGGAAAUCUAAUCGCUUAACUAUUAGGCUUCCAGGGGAUACUGUUAGACUUGGGACCGGGAGAGGUAAGAGGUACUGCAGGGGUAGGAGUGAAAUCUUGUAAUCCCUGUGAGACCACCAGUGGCGAAGGCGUCUUACCAGAACGGGUCCGACGGUGAGGGACGAAAGCUGGGGGCACGAACCGGAUUAGAUACCCGGGUAGUCCCAGCUGUAAACGAUGCUCGUUAGGUGUCAGGAACGGUGCGACUGUUUCUGGUGCCGAAGGGAAGCCGUGAAACGAGCCACCUGGGAAGUACGGCCGCAAGGCUGAAACUUAAAGGAAUUGGCGGGGGAGCACUACAACGGGUGGAGCCUGCGGUUUAAUUGGACUCAACGCCGGAAAACUCACCGGGGGCGACAGCAAUAUGUAGGUCAGGUUAAAGGUCUUACCUGAAUCGCUGAGAGGAGGUGCAUGGCCGUCGUCAGUUCGUACUGUGAAGCAUCCUGUUAAGUCAGGCAACGAGCAAGACCCGUGCCCACUGUUACCAGCAUAUCCUUUAUGGAUGAUGGGGACUCUGUGGGGACCGCUGCUGCUAAAGCAGAGGAAGGUGCGGGCUACGGUAGGUCAGUAUGCCCCGAAUCUCCCGGGCUACACGCGGGCUACAAUGGUUGGGACAAUGGGUAUCUACUCCGAGAGGAGUUGGCAAUCUCUUAAACCCAAUCGUAGUUCGAAUUGAGGGCUGUAACUCGCCACUCAUGAAGCAU
rnacentral:rRNA from 1 species